rnacentral:rRNA from 1 species
UGGACCUGCGGAGGAUCAUUAUCGAAUCGUAGGCGAGGGUUGUCGCUGGCCUCUCGGGGCAUGUGCACGCCCGAGCCCUUGAAUCCCAAACACCACAUGUGAACCCACCGUAGGCCUUCGGGCCUAUGUCUUAUCAUAUAAUCUGAAUGUCUAAUAGAAUGUAAACCCAUUUCGUUGCCUUGAAAACGUAACGAAAGAAAACUAUACAACUUUCAACAACGGAUCUCUUGGCUCUCGCAUCGAUGAAGAACGCAGCGAAAUGCGAUAAGUAAUGUGAAUUGCAGAUUUUCAGUGAAUCAUCGAAUCUUUGAACGCACCUUGCGCCCCUUGGUAUUCCGAGGGGCAUGCCUGUUUGAGUGUCAUUAAAUCCUCAACCCCUCCGAUUCGUUUCGGUGGGGAUUGGACUUGGAGCGUGCUGGCGAAGGUCGGCUCCUCUUUAAAUGCAUCAGCGGAGAAAAUGCCUUUUGCGCCUCUGGCCGUUCAGCGUGAUAAUGAUGUUGCGCUGCGGUCGAGCUUAAGGUCCGCUUCCAAAGGUCCUCGGACAAAUAUACAUAUGACUUUUGACCUCAAAUCAGGUAGGACUACCCGCUGAACUUAAGCAUAUCAUAAGCCGGGAGGAAA